ensembl:lncRNA
CAUCCUCUAGGCAUUACAGAAAAAUACAUCUUAGUUCAAUAAAAGUGCUAAGAAGGUUGUUAUGAAUGCAACUGUAGCACUCAUAAAGGUGUAAUGAAAUAUUAAUAUCCGAUGUGUAAUGCUAUAUGUUGUUAUCAUCACAACACCAUUUAAUAUUGUAUUUCACACUUGUCUCCUGCUCCAUACCAGUAGACACAGACAGAGAUAGUGACCAUUAGACAAAGAGGAGAAAGAGGAGAGAGACCCCAGUGUUGUGGUUGAUUCAUCGAGGCAGUAGAAGCAGGAUGUGGGUCCUCAUCUGGGCAGCUCUACUUUUCUCUCUGACAGAGAGAACCACAUGCCCAAUGAAGGCCCCUCCAGCAGCAUACAACAUCACCUUCAGUCCAGCAGAGAUAACACCACAGACUGGACUAUGUGCUGUUAUUCCAUGUUCGUUCACUCACCCUGAUGACUUCCUUGCUAGCAUAGCAAUGUGGCUUAAAUGCCCUGAUGAACGAUGUUCUGUUAAAGUCGAAACAGACUCUAUUUUCCACUCAAUGAAUUCCUCUAUAGCUCAGGAGGGUUAUAGAAGGCGAGUAGCACUACUGGAGACAGACCUGACAAAGAAGAACUGCAGUAUGAUCAUCAACGACAUCACUAAGACUGAUGACGGAGACUAUCAAUUAAGACUGUCCGGAACAUUGAACAGUGUAUAUAUAAGUCAAUUUACAUACCAGAAGAAACUGAAAAUGGCAGUGAAAGGUACAGCAUGACUAUUACCGUUAGUUACAGUGACAAGAGUAUUACUUUGGUGUAAUUUAUCAUGUACACUGACUGUAACAUAAGUACCUCCAAUUUACAAAGCCCAAGAUUUCCCCAAGUCUCCCAUUUCAAAGUGUUUAUUUUUCUAAACCGGUACUAUGAUUUCAUACUUUAUAUGAAUAUAUGUUUCUGCUGUUUUCUACAUGGAUGCAAAAUCCAUGUUAUAGCGUGACUUAAAUGUAAAGGUAAAUUCCUAUUGAGCCGACGUGUGCAUUUACCAUGAAUACGGGAACAUUGCCUCUAAAUGUAAAUCACGCUAUUGUGCGAAUCUUCCACGAUCCUGAUUGAAUUUAGGCCUCAGUCUGUGUUUCUAUUUCCUACCUCCAGCUCUGACCCAGAAGCCCUCAGUGUUGACUCCUCCUCUGACAGAGGGAGAACCAGCGACCCUGACCUGCACCGCCCCGGGGAUCUGCUCUGGAACUCCUCCUAACAUCACAUGGACAUGGAGAGGGACAGGAGACAACAUCACUGAGCUCAGAGACAACACCACUACACAAAGGAGAGAGGAUCUGACCCGCGUCACAACAACCCACUUCUCAACUUUGAACUUUACACCUUCAGCUGAGCACCACACCACCAAGGUCACGUGCCAAGUGACAUUCAUAGGGAACAUCACAACUGAGGAGACAGUGACUUUGAAUGUGACUCGUAAGUAGCCUACAUAAUCUGACCUUACUUUGAACAACCCAACCUUUUGUUGUGCUUCAACAGUUAUAUUCCAUGAUUAACUGAUUAUUUACUUUAUUUUCUAGAUGUGAAGGAACCCAAGAUCUCUGGUAGUAACACAGUGAGAGAGGGUGAUACCCUGAAUCUGUCUUGCUUUGUUGACAGCUACCCACCACCACCACCAGCAAUCACCUGGAGUAAGAAUGGGACAAGAGCUUUGGAACAGAAUAUCUCUGGACUGGCCUCUCUCACCAUCUCCAACAUGACAAGAGAACAUGCUGGGGAGUAUGUGUGUAAAGCUCAACACCUCAACAGGACAGCUUCCAUUGUUGUCACUGUGAUAUGUGAGUACAAACAACACUGUACAAACCUGAUUAAAAAUAGCUUGAAACAUGUUUACUUUAAAUUGUCCAUGAUAUAUCUUCCCCCUCUGUCUCUCGUUAGACCCUCCUGUGAUUCUCAAUGCUUCUGGGUGUGUCAUCCAGGCAAAGGUCAUGACCUGUGUGUGUGUCAGCCAGGGGGUUCCCUUACCUCUCAUAGGCUGGCUUAACACUGAGGAGUACUCCCUCACUAAAUCAGUGUUGAGGUCCUCAGUGAACACCACCAUCAGGAUGCAUGUCGGAAACCACACCAACACUACUGUGGAGUGUGUCAGCACAAAUGAAGUGGGCAGAGUGAGAGAGAAGCUGCAAGUCAGCCUAAAAGAGAGCCAAGGAAAGCAAGGAGGUAAAGAUAUAAGUUGUUACUUUGUUAGAGAGCAACAGCUUCCCUAUCCCACCCAAUAUGUCUGCAGCAUAGAGGAUUUAUAUGCUUUGAGUGAGAAAAUAUAAUGUUAUUAUUUCAUUUAAAAAGAAAAUCAGGAUACAAAGUAUGGUGAGCAACUUCUAAAAUCAUACAUGCUUUGUUCUCUUUAUAGAGGAAGUAUAUAAAGACAUCUUGGCUCUGCUGUUGAACCCACCACCGAUUGCUGCAUUUGUGAUUGGUGCAGCCUUCUCAUCCACCAUCUGUUGUAUCAUCCUGUGUUUGACAGGGAAAUGUAAAAGGUACAUGCAUUCUGUUACUGAAGUACAGUUAAUGUUAUAUGAGUGUUGGUGAUUGUCUUUAGAAAUUCACAUUUCCUAUCAAGAGUAUCAGAUAUAUUGUCAAAAGUUGCAAUGCUUUCCACUAAGUUGUAAUGGAGGUGCUUGCUAACCUCUCUAACAUAUAGUUAUUGAGACAUUUUAUGUAUAAUAUUUUCCCUAGAUGCAAAGAGAGGAUCCCAAAGGACUCAGACUCCAAAAGCCCUUUAACGAAACUGGAGAUGGUGGCAUGUGAAGACCAACAGGUGCCGUACCAGUUUCCUUCUUUUUUCAGCUUUACCAACAUUCUGUUAGCAUUGACAGCAUAAACAGAUCUGGGACCACCAAGCUAACAAGACUCCUCACACAGUGCUUUCUGUAAUCUACUCCAUAGACGAAUGCAGGACAGGCUGUGCGGGGCGAACAGACCCCUCUGCAGGUGGUGCUGAUGGAGGGAGCUGAAAACACAGGACCCCAGACCAGUGGAGCUGCAGGAAACUCUGCCAAAGGGGAAGAACCUCAAGAUGUGCACUARGCCACUAUCAACUACUCCCAACUGAAGAAGACUCCUGAGGAGGCAGAGAAGAAGACCACCACCUCGYAGUCAGAGUACGCCAAAAUCAAACGAGAGAAUAAGAAAGAAGGGUAUGAAGYUGGAGGAGAGGGGAGUGGAGUGAUGMACGAGGAGGAGAACGAGAAUGGUAAGCCAGCAGCAGAGACAUAUGAGAAUACAGAGCUUUACUCCAACGUCAAGGCUAUUAUGGGUGGUGAGUGACACAGCAAUUUUCACUAGAAACAUGGGGGAUAGCAUGCAGUAUUAUAUAGCCAUGUGUUCCUUUAUCAUUUUCUGAAUCCAGAUUGAAUGUUUUAUGUUGAUACUGGGACUUUUGCUCAACUGAAACUACUGUAGUUUUGGUGUUGUUUCCUCAUGUGCUUAAUGCAGAUUGAAUGUUUUU